rnacentral:rRNA from 1 species
UACGAAGGGGGCUAGCGUUGUUCGGAAUCACUGGGCGUAAAGCGCACGUAGGCGGAUCUUUAAGUCAGGGGUGAAAUCCCGGAGCUCAACUCCGGAACUGCCUUUGAUACUGGGGGAUCUCGAGUCCGGGAGAGGUGAGUGGAACUGCGAGUGUAGAGGUGAAAUUCGUAGAUAUUCGCAAGAACACCAGUGGCGAAGGCGGCUCACUGGCCCGGAACUGACGCUGAGGUGCGAAAGCGUGGGGAGCAAACAGG